GAUGAACGCUGGCGGCGUGCCUAAUACAUGCAAGUCGAGCGAACGGACGAGAAGCUUGCUUCUCUGAUGUUAGCGGCGGACGGGUGAGUAACACGUGGAUAACCUACCUAUAAGACUGGGAUAACUUCGGGAAACCGGAGCUAAUACCGGAUAAUAUUUUGAACCGCAUGGUUCAAAAGUGAAAGACGGUCUUGCUGUCACUUAUAGAUGGAUCCGCGCUGCAUUAGCUAGUUGGUAAGGUAACGGCUUACCAAGGCAACGAUGCAUAGCCGACCUGAGAGGGUGAUCGGCCACACUGGAACUGAGACACGGUCCAGACUCCUACGGGAGGCAGCAGUAGGGAAUCUUCCGCAAUGGGCGAAAGCCUGACGGAGCAACGCCGCGUGAGUGAUGAAGGUCUUCGGAUCGUAAAACUCUGUUAUUAGGGAAGAACAUAUGUGUAAGUAACUGUGCACAUCUUGACGGUACCUAAUCAGAAAGCCGCGGCUAACUACGUGCCAGCAGCCGCGGUAAUACGUAGGUGGCAAGCGUUAUCCGGAAUUAUUGAGCGUAAAGCGCGCGUAGGCGGUUUUUUAAGUCUGAUGUGAAAGCCCACGGCUCAACCGUGGAGGGUCAUUGGAAACUGGAAAACUUGAGUGCAGAAGAGGAAAGUGGAAUUCCAUGUGUAGCGGUGAAAUGCGCAGAGAUAUGGAGGAACACCAGUGGCGAAGGCGACUUUCUGGUCUGUAACUGACGCUGAUGUGCGAAAGCGUGGGGAUCAAACAGGAUUAGAUACCCUGGUAGUCCACGCCGUAAACGAUGAGUGCUAAGUGUUAGGGGGUUUCCGCCCCUUAGUGCUGCAGCUAACGCAUUAAGCACUCCGCCUGGGGAGUACGACCGCAAGGUUGAAACUCAAAGGAAUUGACGGGGACCCGCACAAGCGGUGGAGCAUGUGGUUUAAUUCGAAGCAACGCGAAGAACCUUACCAAAUCUUGACAUCCUUUGACAACUCUAGAGAUAGAGCUUUCCCCUUCGGGGGACAAAGUGACAGGUGGUGCAUGGUUGUCGUCAGCUCGUGUCGUGAGAUGUUGGGUUAAGUCCCGCAACGAGCGCAACCCUUAAGCUUAGUUGCCAUCAUUAAGUUGGGCACUCUAAGUUGACUGCCGGUGACAAACCGGAGGAAGGUGGGGAUGACGUCAAAUCAUCAUGCCCCUUAUGAUUUGGGCUACACACGUGCUACAAUGGACAAUACAAAGGGCAGCGAAACCGCGAGGUCAAGCAAAUCCCAUAAAGUUGUUCUCAGUUCGGAUUGUAGUCUGCAACUCGACUACAUGAAGCUGGAAUCGCUAGUAAUCGUAGAUCAGCAUGCUACGGUGAAUACGUUCCCGGGUCU
rnacentral:rRNA from 1 species